UGUAAAUUAAUAUAAUAAUAUAUAGUUAUAUCAAGUGGUAUAAUAUAUUACAGUUGCUUCUCUAUCAGAAGUUUCAGUUUGGUGAGCUGAGAUUAUGAUCUUUCCAUCUUUCUCUAGAGCAUCGUGUUCAUACUUUUUUUCCCCUGAGUCUCUCUGUGUCAAACCAUUCGUUUCAAAUACAUUUGUUUCUGGACUACAGUCUCUAUGUGUUCUUUAACUUUACCUUUUCCACAUUUGUAAUGACUGCAUAAACACAACUUUCAGAUUUAGAAAAUGCUCUCUGAGUUUCCACCAAUGUGUCUCUGUGGUUACAUUAUUGUCACCCUAACCUGGAAGGCUCCUGUCACUUUGCUCCUCUGCCUGUUGACACAUAGGAAGGGGUGAGUUCUCAUGAUGUAUCAGGGGAGUUUGGGGCAGAAUGUCAGGCUCCAAAGAAUGUUCAACUUGAAUGAUUUCCACAACUGCAGAAUUUUCCUGCCUGUCUACUUAUUGAAAGCCUGGGUUACCAGAACUGGUCCAAGACACCUGCUAAGAUAUUCUACCAGUUGCUAUAGGUUAAGGUUUCCAUUAUGUUUUUAAAACCUAGUUUUUUCUCAUGUUAAAAUAUUUUCUAGUUUUCCUAUCAAUAUUUUAUUCAACAUGUAGCUAUAUAGAAGCAUGCUGUUCAACACUGAAAUGUUUGAGUAUUUCCCAAUUAUCUUCCUGGUUUUGAUUUCACGUUUCCUGCUGCUAUGGUCAGAUAGCACUGUUUUAAUGAUGUCUAGCUUUUACAAUGUUUAUUUUUAAUUUAUUUGAUGGCUCAAAAAUAACUUGUGGCUUGUAAUUGCUUUUUAAAACCUCAAAGCACACCCCCACACUCCAAUGAGGCCACACCUACUCCAACAGGGCCAUAUUCCUAAUCCCUCUCAGAGAAUGCCACUUGCUGUUGACCUAGCAUUAAAAUAUAUAAGGCCAUGGUGGCCAUUCUUAUUCAGACCACCACAAAUCCUAGCCUUUUGUAGUUUUCAUCCCUGGGCAUCUGCCUGUGCCCUUCUCCCUGUGCAUCCUUUCCAUGCAUGGCAAACAAGAGUCAUCCAGACUUCUUCAUGGAACCGAGUGGACAUAUUUCAUAUUACAUCCUCUUUGACACAUCUCUGAGCCUUUUUACACAUGUUCUUCACUACCAGCUUUAGAAGAUCUGGAUUUUCUCUUUCAGGAAUUAUGGACCAUCCUAUGGCCAGGUUCCUACAAGCUAUUCCUGGAGCACAUGGGCACUAUCUCCAGAAAACCCUGGCUGUUUGCUGACUACUAAAAGUCCUGUGUGUCCAAAGCAUGGGGAGACAGCUGAGUGGUAGAGGGCCUGCUUCACAACCACAAGGACUCAGGCUUGUUCCCUGAACUCCUGUAAUAGAGCCAGGUUUACUCUGAGUUACAGCUCCGCUGUCCUGGAACUUCACUGUGUAGACCAUACUGACUUGGACCUCACAGACAUCCUCAUACCUCCUGAGUGUAUGAACUAAAGGAAUGUACCACCAAGACAUGGCCUAAACAUAGGGUUUUUAGUAGGUCUGUGGAUAACAGGUGAGCUGCUUACCUGUUUUUAUCAAUGGCAGAGGAUCAAAACCUUGACUUAAAAUAAUUGAUCUAUUCCAUUGAGUUUACCAGGAGAUAUUUUUCUGCAUCUUAUUUUUGGAACAUCAUUGCCUUUCCAUUAUGAUUUCUUACUCUUCUCAUUCCUAAAGAAAAUAUUAAUCACCAAGUAAAAUGGGUCCAAUACACUCAUAUUUCUUCAUAUACUCAGUUUCUUCCUCAUUGAAAUCCUGCCUUAGAUGCCAGGCACUCACUCUCUCAAGAGAACUUCAUCCUCCAGCCCCAAAGCACAUUAAAUCCUUCUAUGAUAAUCUGUUAUUUUAAAUGGUAUAAUAUGUUCAGAUUACUUUUAGAGAGGUUAAUCAUGGUGAAAAUUGGAAGCAUUAGGAUCAGAAGUUCUAGGACAGCAUCAUUUAAAACUUGAUUCCCAGAUCACCAAUAUUAUGUGGCCCCAUUUUUGAAAAGGAAAAAAAAUGGACAGAGCUACUUCUCAGUUUGCAGAGUACUGGAUUGCAAUGUACUAGGUCCUGCGUUCUAUCUUCAGCAUCACAGAUAAUCAGGUGUGGUGUCACAUGCCUGCAAUUCUAGUCCUAAGGAGGCAGAGACAGAUACUAAAAUUCAUCCUUAACUACAGAUUGAGUAGCAGACCAGCCUGGGAUACAGGAGAAUGUUUCUCAAAAUAACAAUAAUAAUUGUAAUAAUAUUGAGGAACUAGGUUGGGAGUUUGAGCUUGAUAUAAGCCUUGCUUCUUCACUUAGAGUAGAGCACAGUCUCUUAAAUAUCAAACAUGGUUUCUUUUUUUAGGCACGGGUUACUUGCUAUGUAGUUGAUGCCCUUGUUCAGAAUCUUGCUAGUUUUCCAUACCAAUGAGACAAUCAAAAGCAAAGUAAAAAUUCAGUAUAAAAGUAUCAAAUACUAUGAGGCAGGAGAGUGUACUAUAGUCACCAAAAGGUGAUUGCAGGCAUUAGUAGUCGACAAUUUGAGGAGACUGUAGUAGGUCAGGCCAGUCUGAGAAAUCUACCUUCUAGAAAGCAUGUUGUGGAAAGGAACACAACAGAAUAGGGGGGGCCAGGAAAGAAACCCUUCUCAUUUGAUAAUACACAGACUCAUUAGUCACAGCAAUUAUUAUGAGGACCAAUUACAUAAAAGACUGAAGCAGGAACAUCACAAAUUCAAACUAAACCAGGACAACUUAAUGGAACCCUAACUCAAAACCACACAACCCAACAAAAACCAAAAUCCAAACAAACAAAGACCCCUGCUGUGGCCCUGUGAGAUUCUCCUGUCAUCAUUUUCUCUGUGCCCCACAUCUCCUUAUCCCAACCCAUCAGCCUGUAGAGGUUGAGGACAUAAUAUUGUCUUAGGGUACUUGCUCCAUGUUUAUGCAAUCCCCUAAGUGCACUCUUGACUAAGUUUCACUCUUGACUAUCAGUUUAUUCAUCCAGAGUUUGUUUUGUGGAAUGAAAACUGCAAACUAACACCUAUUACUUAGAAAGAUUGAAUGGUCCCUUUAUUGACUUUUGGAUAUUAUGUUCUGUAACAUAAAUACUAACCAGUCUUAUUAA